rnacentral:lncRNA from 1 species
AGAACCAAAUGGGAUAAAAAAAUAGAGUUAAAAUAAAAUUAAAAUCAAAGCCGAAAAUCUAUCGUAUCAAUUCAUAAAUUGUUGGUCCACCAUGGACCACUUUGUCUUCAUGCGGCUCACAAGGAUCCAUAACCAAUGGUUUAACCUGAGGUCUCUUGUGGGUUCACAGCAACAUAAACUAUGAUGCGAUACUUUGGGCGUUGGUUCAAAUGUAGCAAGCGGGAAGCGGGCAUGACACAGUUUUUUUUUCGCGCGGGCUUCGCUGGACCUUGGACGCCCACGAGCAAGAGCUGGGUGACGCGCGGACAAAGAAAGAAGGGAGCACAUGGAGAAAAAGGAAAUCAUUUUAAAAAAAUAUAUAUCUUUUCAUCCAUCCAAGCCUCCUUACCACUUCAUCUCAUCCAUCCAUUUUUUUAGGAUGCAUCCUUUCAAUAGUCCUACAUCUAAAAAAAUUAAAACUUCCUCUCUACCUACACCUAUAAAUAAAACCUAAUAUCUCUACUCUGAUGGAUCUCUCUCCACAUCAUAAUUUUUGUAAGGGGCCCGUGUGACAGGCAGAUAUACCCACCUUUUAAAUCUUUUUAGCCACUUUGUUUCUAUUUUCUUCCACCCUUCCAACAUACAAGAAGGAGAGUCGGCCAGGGAGAGGUUGGUCUCAAGCCAAUAAAAGAAUUUAUUUUAUUUUCUGUUCCAACUCCAAACUUGGGAGUU